rnacentral:rRNA from 1 species
GACGAACGCUGGCGGCGUUCUUAACACAUGCAAGUCGAACGAUGAACUUGGAGCUUGCUCUGGGGGAUUAGUGGCGAACGGGUGAGUAACACGUGAGUAACCUGCCCUGGACUCUGGGAUAACUUCGAGAAAUCGGAGCUAAUACCGGAUAGGACCUUGCACCGCAUGGUGUGGGGUGGAAAGUUUUUCGGUUUGGGAUGGACUCGCGGCCUAUCAGCUUGUUGGUGAGGUAAUGGCUCACCAAGGCGUCGACGGGUAGCCGGCCUGAGAGGGUGACCGGCCACAAUGGGACUGAGACACGGCCCAGACUCCUACGGGAGGCAGCAGUGGGGAAUAUUGCACAAUGGGCGCAAGCCUGAUGCAGCAACGCCGCGUGCGGGAUGACGGCCUUCGGGUUGUAAACCGCUUUUAGUAGGGAAGAAGCCUUCGGGUGACGGUACCUGCAGAAAAAGGACCGGCUAACUACGUGCCAGCCGCCGCAGUAACAC